AUACGUAGGGGGCGAGCGUUGUCCGGAAUGAUUGGGCGUAAAGGGCGCGUAGGCGGCCCGGUAAGUCUGGAGUGAAAGUCCUGUUUUUAAGAUGGGAAUUGCUUUGGAUACUGUCGGGCUUGAGUGCAGGAGAGGUAAGUGGAAUUCCCAGUGUAGCGGUGAAAUGCGUAGAGAUCGGGAGGAACACCAGUGGCGAAGGCGGGUAACUGGACUGCAACUGACGCUGAGGCGCGAAAGUGUGGGGAGCAAACAGGAUUAGAUACCCUGGUAGUCCACACUGUAAACGAUGAAUGCUAGGUGUAAGAGGUAUCGACCCCUUUUGUGCCGGAGUCAACACAAUAAGCAUUCCGCCUGGGGAGUACGGCCGCAAGGUUGAAACUUAAAGGAAUUGACGGGG
rnacentral:rRNA from 1 species